rnacentral:rRNA from 1 species
UGGGGAAUAUUGGACAAUGGGCGCAAGCCUGAUCCAGCAAUGCCGCGUGUGUGAAGAAGGCCUUCGGGUUGUAAAGCACUUUUAUCAGGAGCGAAACGCUGUCGGCUAAUACCCGGCGGAACUGACGGUACCUGAGGAAUAAGCACCGGCUAACUUCGUGCCAGCAGCCGCGGUAAUACGAAGGGUGCAAGCGUUAAUCGGAAUUACUGGGCGUAAAGCGUGCGUAGGCGGUUUCUUAAGUCUGCUGUGAAAUCCCCGGGCUCAACCUGGGAAUGGCAGUGGAUACUGGGAGGCUAGAGUGUGUCAGAGGGUGGUGGAAUUCCCGGUGUAGCGGUGAAAUGCGUAGAGAUCGGGAGGAACAUCAGUGGCGAAGGCGGCCACCUGGGACAACACUGACGCUGAGGCACGAAAGCGUGGGGAGCAAACAGGAUUAGAUACCCUGGUAGUCCACGCCCUAAACGAUGCGAACUGGAUGUUGGUCUCAACUCGGAGAUCAGUGUCGAAGCUAACGCGUUAAGUUCGCCGCCUGGGGAGUACGGUCGCAAGACUGAAACUUAAAUAAAUUGACGGGGUCAUAGCUGUUUCCUG